UACAUGGGGUGCAAACGUUGCUCGGAAUUAUUGGGCGUAAAGCGCGCGUAGGCGGUUACUCAAGUCGGAUGUGAAAGCCCUCGGCUUAACUGAGGAAGUGCACCCGAAACUGAGUAGCUAGAGUACUAAAGAGGGUCGCGGAAUUCCCGGUGUAGAGGUGAAAUUCGUAGAUAUUCGCAAGAACACCAGUGGCGAAGGCGGCUCACUGGCCCGGUACUGACGCUGAGGCACGAAAGCGUGGGGAGCAAACAGG
rnacentral:rRNA from 1 species